ensembl:lincRNA
UUUUUGUGUCCUCCACAGCAAAGACUGCUCUUCUAAUGUAAGGAAUCUAGAUGAUUAUGGAAGGAAAAGAAGUGCUGUCAUUUCAAUGAAAACUACUCCAAAGCUAUGGCUCAGGAGCAAGAAGUGGCCAUGGGUGACAAAGAAGUUUAAAGGUAGUUUGAAGAAAACAUUACC